CCUACGGUGGGCUGCAGUGGGGAAUAUUGCACAAUGGGCGCAAGCCUGAUGCAGCCAUGCCGCGUGUGUGAAGAAGGCCUUCGGGUUGUAAAGCACUUUCAGCGGGGAGGAAGGCGUUAAGGUUAAUAAUCUUGUCGAUUGACGUUACCCGCAGAAGAAGCACCGGCUAACUCCGUGCCAGCAGCCGCGGUAAUACGGAGGGUGCAAGCGUUAAUCGGAAUUACUGGGCGUAAAGCGCACGCAGGCGGUCUGUCAAGUCGGAUGUGAAAUCCCCGGGCUCAACCUGGGAACUGCAUUCGAAACUGGCAGGCUAGAGUCGUGUAGAGGGGGGUAGAAUUCCAGGUGUAGCGGUGAAAUGCGUAGAGAUCUGGAGGAAUACCGGUGGCGAAGGCGGCCCCCUGGACAAAGACUGACGCUCAGGUGCGAAAGCGUGGGGAGCAAACAGGAUUAGAUACCCCAGUAGUC
rnacentral:rRNA from 1 species